CAGCCGCCACGGUAAUACGGAGGGUGCAAGCGUUAUCCGGAUUUAUUGGGUUUAAAGGGUCCGUAGGCGGAUCUGUAAGUCAGUGGUGAAAUCUCACAGCUUAACUGUGAAACUGCCAUUGAUACUGCAGGUCUUGAGUAAAUUUGAAGUGGCUGGAAUAAGUAGUGUAGCGGUGAAAUGCAUAGAUAUUACUUAGAACACCAAUUGCGAAGGCAGGUCACUAAGAUUUAACUGACGCUGAUGGACGAAAGCGUGGGGAGCGAACAGGAUUAGAUACCCCCGUAGUCCCUGUCUCUUAUAA
rnacentral:rRNA from 1 species